AACGAACGCUGGCGGCGCGUCUUAAACAUGCAAGUCGAACGAUCUGUAGCAAUACAGGGAGUGGCGGACGGGUGAGGAACACGUAGGAAUCUACCUUGAAGAGCGGGACAACUUUGGGAAACCGGGGCUAAUACCGCAUAGUACAGAGAUGUUAAAGGGCUAGCAAUAGUCGCUUCGAGAUGAGCCUGCGGUCUAUCAGCUUGUUGGUGAGGUAAUGGCUCACCAAGGCUACGACGGAUAGCCGGUCUGAGAGGAUGAUCGGCCACACUGGCACUGAGACACGGGCCAGACUCCUACGGGAGGCAGCAGUUAAGAAUCUUGCGCAAUGGGGGAAACCCUGACGCAGCGACGCCGCGUGAAGGAUGAAGGCUUUCGGGUUGUAAACUUCGGUAGACUGGGAAGAAGAAAUACGUUCGUUGAGGGCGUAUAGUGACGGUACCAGUCUGAAGCCCCGGCUAAUUACGUGCCAGCAGCCGCGGUAU
rnacentral:rRNA from 1 species